rnacentral:lncRNA from 1 species
GCGGGACUGGCCCUGCGCCCGGGCACCGCCUGCGCUGCGCCGCCCGGCCUCACUCCGCGGCCCGCCAGGACCCGGCCCCGGUGAACGGGCUCGGGGUGCCGAGGUCCGGCUGCGGGGCCGGGAAGCCACCUCCACCUUGCCGUCUGUUACGACCCCCGAGGCGCAAGGCUGAGCCCCAUCUCGCUAUCCGGGUCCGGAGGGGUUCACCUUAGAAGGAUUUUUUGAAGCUCUUGGCGCUGGCUCUAAAAGAACCCACUUCCUUGCGGAUUUCAGGAGUCAAGAAUCCUUAAACGGAGCCAAUUUGCUUUGUAAAGCCAAUUGCCCAAGUGACUUGAGUUCGAAAGGAGAUACUUCCUGGACAACUGCUAUAAAAACAACAACAAAUACUUUUAUUAAUUCGGGGAGCCUGGUCACCAACUGGAUGCUCAGAUGGAACCCUGAGCAGCCCAUGUACAUGGAAGAUCUUUAUUGCAGAGAUCUUCAAACCAGCUAGUGUGCAUUUACUCCUGCCUCUCCAUGCCUGAAGGAAGGAAUGAAGAGGUCUCUGCUGUCCAUCUGAGCCAGUGACUGGGCUGUCUCUACCAGGCCAGAAUUUGGGGCAGGCAAGAUUUUCAGCAUCCCUAAAAUCACACUAAGAAGAUAAACAUGGAAACAGCUUGGAGCUGCCCUACCCAUAGUGAGGUGGUACUGACUGGAAGACAGCUUAAACGAUUUGGAGAAAAGUGGAAUACAUUAAUCUCAGAAAACUCUACCACCUGUAGAAAGAGAGCUAAAAUGGAGACAACCACAGGCAGUCUAAGAUACGCUGAACUACUACAGAAAAUAAUGCAGCAUGAAGGAAUGCUGGAAGGUAUGGGGUCAGAGCAAGCUGAUGGAGGGUCCUUCAUUUCCAAGCCACGAGUACAGCAGGAUGUAAGGCUUAGUUCAUAAGAACAUCUCCUGAAAGACAAUCUCUAUAAAAACUGUUUCAAUAGAAAGAAUGCAAGAUGUAACUGUUUAAUAAUAGGACUGAUAUUUUAAAAAACAAAUGAACGUAAUAGAAGACUAGAUGGAUGUGCUUCUCAAAGUCCUCUCUGUGGGAGGCUUCAUCCUCACUCUAGAUGUGUUGCCUGUAGCAGCUGUUAUUGAUUACCCGCCCAUAGCCUAUCCAUACUUACUCAUCAUUCCUUUACCUACCAGUGGCAUCCUAUUGGAAGCACCUGCGACUUUCUUAGGGCUUUCUCUUGGCCAAGCAUUGGAAGGCCAGCAGUAUUGAAAAGUUAAUAGUCUUGGAAGCACUGGCCCUCAACUAAUGACAAA